rnacentral:rRNA from 1 species
UAGGGAAUCUUCCACAAUGGACGCAAGUCUGAUGGAGCAACGCCGCGUGAGUGAAGAAGGUCUUCGGAUCGUAAAGCUCUGUUGUUGGUGAAGAAGGAUAGAGGCAGUAACUGGUCUUUAUUUGACGGUAAUCAACCAGAAAGUCACGGCUAACUACGUGCCAGCAGCCGCGGUAAUACGUAGGUGGCAAGCGUUGUCCGGAUUUAUUGGGCGUAAAGCGAGCGCAGGCGGAAUGAUAAGUCUGAUGUGAAAGCCCACGGCUCAACCGUGGAACUGCAUCGGAAACUGUCAUUCUUGAGUGCAGAAGAGGAGAGUGGAACUCCAUGUGUAGCGGUGGAAUGCGUAGAUAUAUGGAAGAACACCAGUGGCGAA